GGCCCGUUAGUCUAAUGGUAGAACACCUCGUUUACACCGAGGAAGCAGAAGUUCGAUUCUUCUACGGGCCA
rnacentral:tRNA from 1 species